GACACUAUCAUUCUGGUACAGGAUUGUGUAAAUGUUCGCUAACGUCGCCAACGUCGCCAACAUUUACGAAAUCAUUACUGUUCGCCAACGUCGCCAACGUCGCCAACAUUUAUGAAAUCAAUACUGUUCGCCAACGUCGCCAACGUCGCCAACAUUUAUGAAAUCAAUACUGUUCGCCAACGUCGCCAACGUCGCCAACAUUUACAAACUCAUUACUGUUCGCCAACGUCGCCAACGUCGCCAACAUUUAUGAAAUCAAUACUGUUCGCCAACGUCGCCAACGUCGCCAACAUUUACAAACUCAUUACUGUUCGCCAACGUCGCCAAUUUAUGAAAUCAAUACUGUUCGCCAACGUCGCCAACGUCGCCAACAUUUACAAACUCAUUACUGUUCGCCAACGUCGCCAACAUUUACAAACUCAUUACUGUUCGCCGACGUCGACAACAUUUACGAACUCAUUACUGUUCGCCAACGUCUCCAACGUCGCCAACAUUUAUGAAAUCAAUACUGUUCGCCAACGUCGCCAAUGUCGCCAACAUUUACAAACUCAUUACUGUUCGUCAAUGUCGCCAACGUCGCCAACGUUACCAACAUUUAUGAAAUCAACACUGUUCGCCAACAUCGCCAACGUCGCCAACAUUUACAAACUCAUUACUGUUCGUUAUUGUCGCAAACGUCGUUAACAUUUACGAAAUCAUUACUAAUGACUGUUCGCCAAUGUCGCCAACAUUCAGGAAAACAUUACUGUUCACCAGUGUCGCUAUCAUUGCCAACCUUUACGAAACCUGUACUGUUCACUAACAUUUACUGUUCGCCAAGUGUGCGUCAACUUCAUUGUUCGCCAACCUUAACAUAAUAAUUAUUGUUUACCAAGUUCGCCAACAUUGUUUUAAAUGUAAUGUUGGCCAACUUACUGAAGUUUGCCAACUUAGCCAAGUUCGCCAACAUUUAUUUUUGUAUCUUUUUAUAUUCACCAACAUUUCCAAC
rnacentral:lncRNA from 1 species